ACCUGGCUGGCUCAGUUGAUGGAGUAUGUGACUCUUGAUCUCAGGGUUGUGAGUUUGAGUCCCAUGUUGGGUA
rnacentral:tRNA from 1 species